UUUGGGAUACCUAUCUACAUGUAUGUAUAAUACAUCAAAUUAUUAUAACACCGUGCUGCUGGUGGUAAGGGUAUUUAUGCAUGUUAGUUGCUACAGGACAGUGCAAUGAUCAGUCUGAAGGGUACCUCUGGUUUAUAUCUGAACUGUAAAAACAUCUAGGUUAAAAUCCGCAGGAGAAAAUUUGAGGAUAGAUUUUGGUUUUGGUUUCCAACCAUCUCCUCCACUCCCACCAUUUCAUACUUCAUAGGUUCUCUCCUAUGUCUUCAAAUUUGAGAAAUACAGGCUCUCUAGCUGUCAAUUACUUCCCAAUUUAAGCACAAUCACAAGCCAGGUAUCAUUCCCUAUAAGAAGCACCCAUUGUCUGUGUUCCCCAUUUACACCCUGCACUCGGAAAUUCUACACUGGUCAUGGUUGUUCAUUUGUCUCUUCUAAACUGGGCGUUUGCAGAGAAUUUCACUAAGGACCAGACAAUAAAUUGGGACACAUAAAUACGUGUGAAUGUCAUACAGAUUUAAGUAAACCUUUAACAGCUGCUGAGAUCAGUGACUGUGCGUUCUCUGUGAGCACACAAAUCAAUACGGCAGUGAGUGUGUUAGUUGCUCAACCUAUUUUAUUUUGAGGCAUUAGUCUUAGUAUAAUGGGAUCGUACCAUUUCUUCAAUUUGCAUUUGACAGAGCACUAUGGAAAGCAGAUAAAUAUUCACAGUAAUUGCCAUUGAGAUUUCCAUGUAAUCAAGCUACACAUCUAAGAUAAUAACCCUUACAUUCUCCUCUUUUUUAAUGGUUGAGUGCCCUAAAGAUGGAUUUUCUAUUGACAGUUGCUGGACACUGCCUGUUCUGAUGAAUCAAUUUCAUUAAUUGUCUCCUUUAAUGUUACCAAUGAGUCUCAAAGAGACUCAAUGUUUCAGGAUAAAAAAUGUGGAGCCUUAAUUUUGCAAAGGAGUUUGUGUGUGAAAUCAAUCAAAUUGCUUUGCAAAAUGAAGCCUGCAAGCCAGAAUUUCAUCCAAGAAACAAAAGAAAAACCUAGGUUAAAAAAAAAAAAAAAAAAAAAAAAAAGGGGGCAAGCAAGAAAAACAGUGCAGCCAUUGAGCAGCUCGUCUUGCAUGCAGAGGUUGUCCCUGCUCUGACUGAACAGGAAGGAAAAAAGGGAGGCAGAGCUGUAUGGUUGCUGUUACCGGGCCAGUUUGUACCUGAACAAACACUGGGAACUUGACUUUGCAGCAGCAAAGUCUUUGAACAGAUGGAAACUCCUUCACAGGACACUUCUGCCAUUGCUCUUCCAAAAGCUUCCAAAGAAAUAACUCCCUCUGAGCAAUAAUUGCUUCCACCUGGGAAUGACCCCUUCCCUGAGGGUGAAGAACAAGGAAGAGAGGGAACUGUGCUGUGUGAAGAUCAAACUCAACAUUUUAGAUCUUGCAUCCUUGGCCAGGAACGAAUGCCUGGAUAUUGUUCCUGGCAGUGCUCAGUCCUCAUCUGCAAAGUAGCAUGGGUUCGGAUAUAUCCCGUUGCUGGUAAUUUAUCACUCUUCUGAGUCAUUGUAAGUCAAUUUAACUUUGUAAUAAUUGAGAUCUUCAAGUAUAUGGUAGAUUUGAAAGUAGCCUUACAUUUCCUGACUGUGAUGUCACUGUUCACAUUGCCCGUGACAAUGCUGUGGUUAUUGUCUUGACCUCUGAUGUGACUUGAUGCUACACUUCUGCAGGUUAUCUACGAGCAAGAUACUGUAUUUCUUGAAUUUUGCUCUAAGGCUGUUCAAAGGUUUAGUUACUUGCAUGACCUGUGUUCAGUCAUAUAACACAUAAUUUCCUUAUCCUGUUUGCUAGAUGCAGUGUAUACAGCUUGUAAAAAAAAUAUGUAUUUAACUUGCAUAAAUCAUUACCUUGUCAGAGAAUUGUGAUUUUUACCAAAGAUUCUGUGAUGAAAGUUUAUAGCUGCAGAAAUCAGUUGGGCAAUCAGUCAUGAUGGUAAGUCUGCAUAUAGCUAGAAUAAUUAUGGUCAAGUCACCAUAAAAGCUAGAUUCCUUUAUUGAAUACUAUUUGUCAGUGAAAUUAAUGCAGGGAAUAAGAAGGAGAAACAUUUUUGACUUUGCAGUCAUAAUUUAACAAGUGCUUUCAUAAAAACACCUGGUUAGAGAAGUAAAUAAAACAU